rnacentral:rRNA from 1 species
GAUGAACGCCGGCGGCGUGCCUAAUACAUGCAAGUCGAGCGAACGGACGAGAAGCUUGCUUCUCUGAUGUUAGCGGCGGACGGGUGAGUAACACGUGGAUAACCUACCUAUAAGACUGGGAUAACUUCGGGAAACCGGAGCUAAUACCGGAUAAUAUUUUGAACCGCAUGGUUCAAAAGUAAAAGACGGUCUUGCUGUCACUUAUAGAUGGAUCCGCGCUGCAUUAGCUAGUUGGUAAGGUAACGGCUUACCAAGGCAACGAUGCAUAGCCGACCUGAGAGGGUGAUCGGCCACACUGGAACUGAGACACGGUCCAGACUCCUACGGGAGGCAGCAGUAGGGAAUCCUCCGCAAUGGGCGAAAGCCUGACGGAGCAACGCCGCGUGAGUGAUGAAGGUCUUCGGAUCGUAAAACUCUGUUAUUAGGGAAGAAUAUAUGUGUAAGUAACUGUGCACAUCUUGACGGUACCUAAUCAGAAAGCCACGGCUAACUACGUGCCAGCAGCCGCGGUAAUACGUAGGUGGCAAGCGUUAUCCGGAAUUAUUGGGCGUAAAGCGCGCGUAGGCGGUUUUUUAAGUCUGAUGUGAAAGCCCACGGCUCAACCGUGGAGGGUCAUUGGAAACUGGAAAACUUGAGUGCAGAAGAGGAAAGUGGAAUUCCAUGUGUAGCGGUGAAAUGCGCAGAGAUAUGGAGGAACACCAGUGGCGAAGGCGACUUUCUGGUCUGUAACUGACGCUGAUGUGCGAAAGCGUGGGGAUCAAACAGGAUUAGAUACCCUGGUAGUCCACGCCGUAAACGAUGAGUGCUAAGUGUUAGGGGGUUUCCGCCCCUUAGUGCUGCAGCUAACGCAUUAAGCACUCCGCCUGGGGAGUACGACCGCAAGGUUGAAACUCAAAGGAAUUGACGGGGACCCGCACAAGCGGUGGAGCAUGUGGUUUAAUUCGAAGCAACGCGAAGAACCUUACCAAAUCUUGACAUCCUUUGACAACUCUAGAGAUAGAGCCUUCCCCUUCGGGGGACAAAGUGACAGGUGGUGCAUGGUUGUCGUCAGCUCGUGUCGUGAGAUGUUGGGUUAAGUCCCGCAACGAGCGCAACCCUUAAGCUUAGUUGCCAUCAUUAAGUUGGGCACUCUAAGUUGACUGCCGGUGACAAACCGGAGGAAGGUGGGGAUGACGUCAAAUCAUCAUGCCCCUUAUGAUUUGGGCUACACACGUGCUACAAUGGACAAUACAAAGGGCAGCGAAACCGCGAGGUCAAGCAAAUCCCAUAAAGUUGUUCUCAGUUCGGAUUGUAGUCUGCAACUCGACUACAUGAAGCUGGAAUCGCUAGUAAUCGUAGAUCAGCAUGCUACGGUGAAUACGUUCCCGGGUCU